UACGUAGGGGGCAAGCGUUGUCCGGAAUCAUUGGGCGUAAAGAGCGCGUAGGCGGCCCGAUAAGUCCGCUGUGAAAGUCAAGGGCUCAACCCUUGAAUGCCGGUGGAUACUGUCGGGCUAGAGUCCGGAAGAGGCGAGUGGAAUUCCUGGUGUAGCGGUGAAAUGCGCAGAUAUCAGGAGGAGCACCAAUGGCGAAGGCAGCUCGCUGGGACGGUACUGACGCUGAGGCGCGAAAGCGUGGGGAGCAAACAGG
rnacentral:rRNA from 1 species